CAACCGCCCUAACCCACCCAAGCACUCCUUGGAUGGAAUUCAAUAGCUGGAGCCAGACUGCUCAUUCCAUUACCUCCUGCCCUGAGAAGGAGCCACGCACGGAUCCCUCUCUGAGAAACCUGGGAGCUGCUGAGAUGCCCUAAUUCCCGAAUCAAAACGUGGAGCAGGAUUCUUGCCAGCUUCUGGGAACUGUCUGCGCAAACACUCAGAGCAGCUGCAUCCCCACCCCCACCAGGGAGAAUUUAUGCAGAAGAGUUUAUAACAGCAGGUCUGCAGCUCCCACUCAGCACUCAAAAGAUGCACCAUGGCCCAUGUGCCAAGCUACAGAGAUCACCAAACUCUCAGCAGGACCUGUGGGACCCGUGAAACGAAACAGUUCUUGAUUUCUACUCACUGAAUUCCCCCCUUUCAGGGGCAUCACAAUUCACUGCUCAGAGAGUGAGCACUAGUAGCCCUGCUUGGAACUAACAGCAUGCUUCAGGCCAAACCUACAGCCCCUCCCUGCUAAUCCAGGCCUGGACACUGCCAGUGCAUCUCAGUCCUGACUAG